GAUGAACGCUGGCGGCGUGCCUAACACAUGCAAGUCGAACGGAGUCCAGCCUUUAAGACCUUCGGGUCAAAGAGGGGAAGACUGAGUGGCGGACGGGUGAGUAACACGUGGGCAACCUGGCUCAUAGAGGGGGAUAACAGAGAGAAAUUUCUGCUAAUACCGCAUAAGCACACACUGCCGCAUGGCAGAGGGUGAAAAGAGAAUCGCUAUGAGAUGGACCCGCGUCUGAUUAGCCAGUUGGCAGGGUAAGAGCCUACCAAAGCGACGAUCAGUAGCCGAUCUGAGAGGAUGAACGGCCACAUUGGGACUGAGACACGGCCCAAACUCCUACGGGAGGCAGCAGUGGGGGAUAUUGCACAAUGGGGGGAACCCUGAUGGAGCGACGCCGCGUGAGUGAAGAAGUAUUUCGGUAUGUAAAGCUCUAUCAGCAGGGAAGAUAAUGACAGUACCUGAAUAAGAAGCCCCGGCUAACUACGUG
rnacentral:rRNA from 1 species